rnacentral:rRNA from 1 species
UACAGAGACUGGCAAGCGUUAUUCGGAUUCACUGGGCGUAAAGGGUGCGCAGGCGGCCAAGUGUGUGAGGCGUGAAAGCCUGGGCUUAACUCCAGAAUUGCACCUCAAACUACAUGGCUAGAGCAUUGGAGAGGGUAGCAGAAUUCACGGUGUAGCAGUGAAAUGCGUAGAUAUCGUGAGGAAUACCAGAGGCGAAGGCGGCUACCUGGACAAUUGCUGACGCUCAGGCACGAAAGCGUGGGGAGCAAAAGGG